UUUAUUCACAUUUCUAAGAUACGAAUAUAAAAGCACGUUUACGCAAAUGUCAAUAAAUUUGAUGGCAUUUUCCCUAUGUUCUGAGCAAAAAAGUGUGGGAAUAUUACUAUUGUUAGCCAAUAAUGUUUGGAGUUUUCUUUUGAUUCCAUAACAUAAAAUAUAGUUUGGAAUAAACUGCAACAAUGUAAUGGUAACUUCCUUAAAAAUCCUGGAAAAUUUACUAGACGGAUGAAUUAAGUGACAUCCUUCAAAUUUCAGAUUGUGGAAAAUUUAAGUUAUCAAUGUAAGGUUCUACAGCGUGCACUUGCAUAGGAUUUACUAGGAAUAGUUUUAAAUUAUUUAGAGGACCGGUUGAUUCAUCAGUUUCGCAGAAGAUAUAAAAGAAGAACAAGUAGGAUUUGUAUUCCGCACUCCAUGACUCCUACUACAAGAAAAAAAAUUCUCCACAGGGUCUUGAUUGAAACAGCGACCAGCGUAUUGUUUGAAAUUUUCUGCAAAUAAUUUAGGUGUUAAAUAAAUCAAUCCACGAAUUGAAAACACCCAAUUUUUCAAACACGGAGGUCUAAUUGGAGAAUUGGAAUGCGGUGCUGUAAAAAACAUAGAUGAGAGGAUGGGUAGAGCAGAAUUCCAAAAAGAAAUAUGGUUAGAAU